UACGGAGGGUGCAAGCGUUAUCCGGAUUCACUGGGUUUAAAGGGUGCGUAGGUGGGCAGGUAAGUCAGUGGUGAAAUCUCCGGGCUUAACCCGGAAACUGCCGUUGAUACUAUCUGUCUUGAAUACAGUGGAGGUGAGCGGAAUAUGUCAUGUAGCGGUGAAAUGCUUAGAUAUGACAUAGAUCACCAAUUGCGAAGGCAGCUCACUACCCAGAUAUUGACACUGAGGCACGAAAGCGUGGGGAUCAAACAGG
rnacentral:rRNA from 1 species